rnacentral:rRNA from 1 species
AACGAACGCUGGCGGCGUGCCUAACACAUGCAAGUCGAGCGAGAAAGUCUCCGCAAGGGGGCGAGUAAAGCGGCGCACGGGUGAGCAACACGUGGGUAAUCUGCCUAGGAGUCCGGAAUAACCUUCCGAAAGGAGGGCUAAUGCUGGAUAAGACCACGGGGACUUCGGUCCCUGAGGUAAAAAGGUGGCCUCUGUAUACAAGCUACCACCCCUAGAGGAGCCCGCGGCCCAUCAGCUAGUUGGCGGGGUAAUGGCCCACCAAGGCUACGACGGGUAGCUGGUCUGAGAGGACGAUCAGCCACACUGGAACUGAGACACGGUCCAGACUCCUACGGGAGGCAGCAGUGGGGAAUUUUGCGCAAUGGGCGAAAGCCUGACGCAGCAACGCCGCGUGAGUGAUGAAGGUCUUCGGAUCGUAAAGCUCUUUCGGCCGGGACGAAAACGGGUUGGCCAAUAUCCAACUCCUUGACGGUACCGGAAGAAGAAGCACCGGCUAACUCUGUGCCAGCCGCCGCCGUAA